rnacentral:rRNA from 1 species
GACAUGCAAGUCGAACGGGAAUUUCGAAAAGCUUGCUUUUUGGAAUUCUAGUGGCGGACGGGUGCGUAACACGUGAGCAACCUACCCAAAAGAGGGGGAUAGCCCGAGGAAACUCGGAUUAAUACCGCGUAUGGUACGGAAGGGCAUCCUUCCAGUAUUAAAGGUGGGGAUCACUUCGGUGACCUGCCGCUUUUGGGAUGGGCUCGCGGCCUAUCAGCUUGUUGGUGAGGUAAUGGCUCACCAAGGCUACGACGGGUAACUGGUCUGAGAGGACGAUCAGUCACACUGGAACUGAGACACGGUUCAGACACCUGCGGGUGGCAGCAGUCGAGAAUCAUUCGCAAUGGGGGAAACCCUGACGGUGCGACGCCGCGUGGAGGAUGAAGGCCCUAGGGUCGUAAACUCCUGUCAUCAGAGAGUAAGGCUUAUCGGUUAAUAACCGGUAAGAUUGAUAGUAUCUGAAGAGGAAGGGACGGCUAACUUCGUGCCAGCAGCCGCGGUAAUACGAAGGUCCCAAGCGUUGUUCGGAUUUACUGGGCGUAAAGCGUGCGUAGGCGGCGAGGUAAGUCAGAUGUGAAAUCCCGGGGCUCAACCCCGGAACUGCAUCCGAUACUGCCCUGCUAGAGUAAUGGAGGGGCAUCUGGAAUUCAUGGUGUAGCAGUGAAAUGCGUAGAUAUCAUGAGGAACACUAGUGGCGAAGGCGAGAUGCUGGACAUUUACUGACGCUGAGGUACGAAGGCCAGGGUAGCGAAAAGGAUUAGAUACCCUUGUAGUCCUGGCAGUAAACGGUGCUCGCUUGGUGUGGGGAGGUUCGACCCUCUCCGUGCCGGAGCUAACGCGUUAAGCGAGCCGCCUGGGGAGUACGGUCGCAAGACU